rnacentral:rRNA from 1 species
GAUGAACGCUAGCGGCAGGCUUAGCACAUGCAAGUCGAGGGGUAUAGUUCUUCGGAACUAGAGACCGGCGCACGGGUGCGUAACGCGUAUGCAAUCUACCUUUUGCAGAGGGAUAGCCCAGAGAAAUUUGGAUUAAUACCUCAUGGUAUGUGAGAAUGGCAUCAUUUUCACAUUAAAGUCACAACGGCAAAAGAUGAGCAUGCGUCCCAUUAGCUUGUUUGUAAGGUAACGGCUUACCAAGGCAACGAUGGGUAGGGGUCCUGAGAGGGAGAUCCCGCACACUGGUACUGAGACACGGAGCAGACUCCUACGGGAGGCAGCAGUGAGGAAUAUUGGACAAUGGGCGCAAGCCUGAUCCAGCCAUGCCGCGUGCAGGAUGACGGUCCUAUGGAUUGUAAACUGCUUUUGUACAGGAAGAAACACUGGUUCGUGAACCAGCUUGACGGUACUGUAAGAAUAAGGAUCGGCUAACUCCGUGCCAGCAGCCGCGGUAACAC